UAAUUACUAACUAACCACGCCAGGGGAUUACAGCCAUGCUUAAAACCCAAAGGAUUUGACGGUGUCCCAUCCCACUAGAGGAGCCUGUUCUAUAAUCGAUAAUCCCCGCUAUACCUCACCACUCCUAGCCAUUCAGUCUGUAUACCUCCGUCGAAAGCCUACCAUAUGAAUGCUCUUAGUAGGCACAACGAUGCCCAUCAACACGUCAGGUCAAGGUGCAGCUCACGCAGUGGAAAGCAAUGGGCUACAAUUUCUAAAUUAGAACAAACGAAAAACUAUUUGAAACAAUAGUUUGAAGGUGGAUUUAUCAGUAAAAAGAAAAUAGAGAGUUCUUUUUAACUCGGCUCUGGGACGUGUACAAACCGCCCGUCACCCUCUUCAAAUUACCUAUUUUUAGUUUAUAACCACACUUAUUACCCUUAGAAGAGGUAAGUCGUAACAUGGUAAGUGUACUGGAAAGUGCACUUGGCUUAUUUCAAAAUGUAGUUUAACCAAACCCACUCGCUUACACCGAGACAAUAUCUGUUUGAAUCAGAUCAUUUUGAGCCUAUAAUCUAGCCCAACCCCCCCCCCCAUGACCCUUCUAUAUUACAAUUUUUAAAUAAAACAUUUUAAUGCCUUAGUACAGGAGAUCAAAAAGACUCACAGGCGCCUCAGAUAAAGUACCGUAAGGGAAGGAUGAAAUAUAAUGAAAUAUCG
rnacentral:rRNA from 1 species